ensembl:lncRNA
UUCCAUUGAGAGGUGAAAAAUCACUAGGUCUGAUGUUGAUUCAUAGUUCAGUUCAAAUCAUGAUGAAAAAGUACUCCUGGAAAUAUACUAUUGCUUAAAAUGAGAAAACUCUAAAGAUAAAAGGUCUUCAAGUGAAAGACAUGAAAUAAUGGAAUAGUUCUUUCCUAAAUGUACUACAAGGAAAUGGAAGAUCCCCUGAGUCUGAAGACUGUCUUGAGUGAGUGGGUGAAGUCACUCAAUCGUGUCCGACUCUUUGCAACCACAUGGACUGUAGCCUACCAGGCUUCUCUGUCCGUGGGAUUUUCCAGGCAAGGGUACUUAGAGUUAAGGAGUUUAGGACUUCCUACUACUAAUGAUGUCAAGAGUGGCAAGGGCAUGUGAACAAUAAAGGAACUCCAUCAGAGUAAACACUGUAGCUUCUAAGAUAUACUGGUGAUAUAUUUGUAGUAAUAAAAUUGGAGCCGCCUGAGCAUGAGGCUAAGCAAUAGGCCUGGGACAAUUAAUUAUACCUGUUGCACCUGGCAAUGACAGCAGAUGAUUGAAUCUUUGAUGAUUUUGAAGGAUGGGAGAACCCUAGAGAACUGGUACUAUGAGAAACUCAGCAUCUGAAAUUUAGGAGUGGAAAUAAUAGAUCUAGCCUUUAGAUGAAAAAGCAACAUUAUUUCAUUUCCCAAUUUGUGGAUAUUUGCUAGGAAUCUAUGUGCAAAAAAAAGCUAUACGAAGUAAAAAAAAUAUAUAUGAAAGAAAUGUCUCCUGAUUUUAUUAUAUAGGUAAGCACCUAAGUAUGUUCACGGAGCCAAUCACAAAGAUUAAAAACUAAGUCUUCUAGAAUUGAUUAAGCAGCUGCUAUAUGCAUAUUAAUAUUCCAGAUAUCUUUCUUGGAUCUCAUUUAAUUCUUGUAGCUCUCCUGAAAUGUUGGUAUUGGUAACUUCAUUUCUAUAGAAGGCAAUCAAGUAACUUCUUCAAAGUAAGGCAAAAUUAUCUGUUUUUCAGGUUUCAAGGGGGAAAAAAAAUUCACUCUAGACUGAGAGUGUCAAAGAUUUAAACCUUAUAUUGGACAAUGAAGAAUGAAAUAAAUAGGUCCACAGUUUACUUAAUCUCCAGAAUCAUAUACCCAUUGCUGUAGUGUUCCCUCCCAGCUACUAAGGUCUUCAUUUGGACUUCCAUUCUGCUCCCACUUGUUAAGGAUAUUGACAUUAAUGGAUAUUUAUUACUUGAAUUUUCAAGAUGAAUUUGGGGGUUUAAUGAAAUUAAAAGAUGCUUACUCCUUGGAAGAAAAGUUAUGACCAACCUAGAUAGCAUAUUCAAAAGCAGAGACAUUACUUUGCUGACUAAGGUCCGUCUAGUCAAGACUAUGGUUUUUCCUGUGGUCAUGUAUGGAUGUGAGAAUUGGACUGUGAAGAAGGCUGAACGCUGAAGAAUUGAUGCUUUUGAACUGUGGUGUUGAAGAAGACUCUUGAGAGUCCCUAGGACUGCAAGGAGAUCCAACCAGUCCAUUCUGAAGGAGAUCAGCCCUGGGAUUUCUUUGGAAGGAAUGAUGCUAAAGCUGAAGCUCCAGUACUUUGGCCACCUCAUGCGAAGC